AGGGUCUGUUGUCACUGCAGGGCAAGAGGGUUGCAGAGUUUCUACACAGCUCCCCUCACUGUGCACACUGACAGGACAUGUGGGUGAAAACUGGACAGACGAAGGUGGCUUGUGGACUUUGGGUGUUUCCUGUGUGAGCAUGAUGUUCCCCAUUAAGACACAACGGGCUGCGAUAAAAUAAUUCAGCCCCUUCGAAGGAGAGGAAACCAGAGGAAAUACGAACAAGAUAACAGGACAGGAGACAAAGCUGAUUUAUGAACCUAUUAAAUAUCUGUUUGUAAACUUCUGCUCGACACAUCCGCCGCUGCUCCCACUGCUGCUUAAUGCAGCUGACGAGUCCUCCAUUUUAACCCCCAAGAAGCUUCCAACCUCCAGGCUACUCUGCAGUUUGCAGAGUGGAUUUAAUGCGGAGCGAAAGCUCCAGGUAUCAAACACGGCUUAGAAGAAUGUGGUAUUUGCAGAAGGUUAUGGGGAACUACAGUAUAUUAGUGCUUUAGUAUUACGGCUGUAAACCUGAAACCUCAGAAGUCAUUAACUGGGAGGAAUCUGCUGAGCCGAUACUUUUACAACAAAACUUCUGAGAGUGUCGCACCCUGGGAAUUAUUCUUCCUGUCUGACUGGAGAGUUGUUAUUUAUUGGCAGGAGAUCUGAACAGCUGAGGAGAA